rnacentral:misc_RNA from 1 species
GUUGAUACGUGACGUCACCAUCUACUUCAGAACUGACCAUACACCAAGGAGAAAUGGUAUCCAUGUGUACGUGACCAACUCCACGGAUGCACCCAGUGGUGACAACUGCUAUACCGUGACAGGAAGAAGUGAUGGAAGCGACAUUGCUGACGUCACACGGGCACCUUGCUCGGGCAGAGGGCGCUACAUUUUACUUUACACAACAGUGAACAAUGAUGGCGACACACUGCCUUUGCUUGACUUUUGUGAGGUGGAAGUAGACGUGUGUGGUCUUCGUACUUUCGGCGCUGACUGUGUCAACUACUGCCACUGUGACGGCGAUACGUGCAACUACGUCAGCGGUGUCUGUCCUAGUGACACGUGUAUGUCAGGGUUGGGUCGGCAGCAGUUGCAAUAUGACCUGUCCGACGGGACACUAUGGACGAGGCUGCUCCAAGUCAUGCACAGACAGACAGUGUAAGGACAACACCUCCAGCUGUAGCCAUGACACCGGGGAAUGUUCAGGUGGAUGUCUGGCAGGCUACAGAACACCGGACUGUACACAGGAAUGCAUAGACACGUAUGGAGAGGAUUGUGGCAGAAACUGUCUGACAGACACUGUAGUGACACCACCUCGUCAAGAUGUGAUCACGUGACUGGGUUGUGUGAUGGGGGCUGCAGGCCCGGAUGGAAGGGUGUCGACUGUACAACAGCAUGCAUACAAGGGGUGGAAUAUGGAGCUAACUGUUCGGGUACCUGCAGUGCCCGUAUGUGUGAGGAGGGAAUGCCACCUGUCCCCAGGAUUCAGGCCGCUGUGAGAACGGAUGCCAGUCAGGGUUUAAGGGAGAAGACUGCACUACUGCAUGCAUACAAGGGGUGGAAUAUGGAGCUAACUGUUCGGGUAACUGCAGUGCCCGUAUGUGUGAGGGAGGGAAUGCCACCUGUCCUCAGGAUUCAGGCUGCUGUGAGAACGGAUGCCAGUCAGGGUUUAAGGGAGAAGACUGCA